UUUUUCUAAGGCUACGGCGGACCGGACAGAUGGACUUGUUGAAGCAGUUCACCAGUAGUACUAUUGCGAGGCUAAUCGCAAAGCACACAACCACCACCAGCACCAUGGAGCAAGCAGCCGUGGAGAUGGAUAGCUUCUGUGAACGGUCGCAAGUGGUGUCGCCGAUGUUGACGGCGCUGCAGUCACCGUCUUCCUCUCGGCGGCUCCGGUAUCGCCUAUCUAAUUCCAGAGAGGGCAUAUCCAUGUUGAAAGUGAAAGCUUUUGAAAUUCCUUCUUGCUUGUCGAUUGCUUUGGACCUGACUUGUCGAAUACUCAUUUAGAGGCGGUUGUAUAUAAUCGCCGCUAAGUAUAUGUUGCUAAAAAUCUAAUUUGUUGUAGUGAUAUGGUAAAUUAUUGCGGCCUGAAAAUUAGGCAUUUACUCCGA